rnacentral:tRNA from 1 species
UAUAUUUAGGUGUAUUGAGGCACAAAAGAUUUUGAUUCUUUGGGAUUUAGGUGAUUUUCUUAUAAAAUAUAU